rnacentral:misc_RNA from 1 species
ACUCCUUGGGUUGACGCCUUGCAGAUUUGGUACUUUUUCAUAACUGAACUUCAUAUUUUCCUAUUUGUAUGGAUCAAUACGAUUUAUGUUGAAGUCAUAUUUUAAGAAGAUAUGUGGAUUACUCUCCGGCGGUCCGUGGUCCAUCGGAAAGCUAUCAAAUGUUCUGUGCAAGCUGGCCAUAGAAGCUGGUCUUAUCCCAGAUGGUUCUCGGUUUCUUGUGGUGCAAAUCAAACAGAGAAGCCGCAUGUAGGAAUUGUGGGCAGCGGCCCUGCAGGGUUUUACACCGCACAACAAAUUUUAAAGUCCCAUGAUGAAGCUCUUGUUGAUGUUUAUGAACGUCUUCCAGUUCCAUUUGGCUUGGCAAGAUUUGGAAUUGCCCCUGAUCAUCCAGAAACUAAAAAUUGCAUUAACCAGUUCACAACGACAGCACUGUCUGACAGGUGCUCUUUUAUUGGAAAUGUGAAUGUUGGAGAAGAUGUGAAUGUGGCAGAGUUGUUAAAAGCUUAUGAUGCUGUUGUCUUGUGUUAUGGGGCAGAAGAUGACAAAACCUUUGGAAUUCCUGGUGAGGAUUUGCAAGGAGUGUAUUCAGCAAGAGCAUUUGUGGAGUGGUAUAAUGGACUUCCUUCUAAUUCUCAUCUAGAGCCAGACUUGAGUACAGAGGCUGCUGUCAUACUGGGACAAGGAAAUGUAGCUCUUGAUGUUGCAAGGAUUCUGCUCAGCCCGAUAGAACUAUUGGAGAAAACAGACAUCUGUGAGCAUGCUUUGGAAGCACUUAGGAAAAGCUGUGUCCAGACAGUUUAUAUUGUUGGCAGACGAGGACCAUUACAGGUGUCAUUUACUAUUAAGGAGUUAAGGGAAAUGACCAAGUUAGAGGGCUGUAAAGCUGUGUUUGACCCUGACGACUUCAGAACAACACAAGAAAAGCUUCCUAAUAUUCCAAGACCAAGGAAAAGACUUACUGAACUGAUGUGCAAGACGGCAUUAGAUGAGAGCACUUCACUGAAUGCUGCAAUUAGAAAAUGGAGUCUAAAAUUUCAAAGGAGUCCUGUAGAGUUUCUUCCCAUGCCAGGUGGAGAAAAACUAUCUGGAGUCAGAUUAGAAAUCAAUAAUUUAGUAGAGAGUAAUGGGUCAGUCCAAGCUCAUGGCACUGGUGUAUAUGAGGGUGUACCUUGCGGUCUGGUGUUUCGUAGCAUUGGAUACAAGAGCAUUCCAAUGAGUCACGCUCCCUUUGAUAUGAAAAGAGGUGUUAUCCCGAACGAAAAUGGAAGAGUAAAUGACUCAGGUCUGUACUGCAGUGGCUGGGUGAAAAAUGGUCCAGUAGGAGUUAUAGCCACAACAAUGAACGAUGCUUUCCAUACUGGACAACUCGUUGUACAAGAUUUAAAAUCUGUGACAUUGACUGAAGGAAAGUAGUUGACGAUGCAAAGUUUUCACUGAGGCUGGAAAAUCUUGCUCUUUCUCCUGGCCUAGUUUCCAGUAAUAUUAUUUCCCUCCUUAUGAAGGUGAAAUAAAGAUAAAGAGUCAGACCAAAGGAUUUGAGGUUAUAAGAAGCUUAUUACACUCAAGAGGAGUCAAACCUGUUUUCUUUGAUCAGUGGCGCA